rnacentral:misc_RNA from 1 species
GAUGAAGAACGUAGCGAAAUGCGAUAAGUAGUGUGAAUUGCAGAAUUCAGUGAAUCAUCGAAUCUUUGAACGCACAUUGCGCCCUUUGGUAUUCCUUAGGGCAUGCCUGUUCGAGCGUCAUUUAAACCUUCAAGCUAAGCUUGGUGUUGGGUGACUGUCCGCCUCACGGCGGACUCGCCUCAAAAUUAUUGGCGGCCGGUACAUUGGCUUCGAGCGCAGCAGAAACGCGAACUCGGGCACGUCGUAUUGGCUCCCAGAAGCUAUCUUCACAAUUUUGACCUCGGAUCAGGUAGGGAUACCCGCUGAACUUAAGCAUAUCAAUAAGCGGAGGA